rnacentral:rRNA from 1 species
ACUAGGGAUCGGAUGACCUCAAUUAUUAUGUGUCAGUCGGCACCUUACGAGGAAUCAAAGUCUUUGGGUUCUGGGGGGAGUAUGUUCGCAAGGCUGAAACUUAAAGGAAUUGACGGAAGGGCACCACCAGGUGUGGAGCCUGCGGCUUAAUUUGACUCAACACGGGGAAACUCACCAGGUCCAGACAUAACUAGGAUUGACAGAUUGAUAGCUCUUUCAUGAUUUUAUGG